GCUGGGCAUGGUUGUGCAUGCCUGUAAUCUCAGCAGCUCCAGAGGCUGAAGCAGGAGGAUCAUGAGUUCAAAGCCAGCCUCAGCAAUUUAGUUUGAGGCCCUGAGUAACUCAGUGAGACCCUGCUUCUA
rnacentral:sRNA from 1 species